GUCGAUAUGUCCGAGUGGUUAAGGAGGUAGACUCGAAAUCUACUGGGCUUUGCCCGCGCAGGUUCGAAUCAGCCCGCGCAGGUUCGAAUCCUGCUGUCGACG
rfam:Oryza sativa (indica cultivar-group) chromosome 6, whole genome shotgun sequence.